rnacentral:lncRNA from 1 species
UUGCUAUGGUCAAAAAAGUAGGAAUACGUGCCAACUUGUUUCGUUAGGUGGCUUUGAUUUUAAUUUCAAUAUAAUUGCAAUAAAAUCAUUUCAAAAUAUUCCAAAGAUGCAUAAGUUGGGGGCUUUAGCUGAUUCACAGAAUAUCUUAAACUCCUGUUCCAGCUCUAGAUGUUCAUGACGUCAGUCUGGCGAUGCGUACUAUAUUUUUAUGGUAAAGGAUAUCGCAGUAAUUUGGGUUUUUAUGGUAUAAAAUCCCUGUUGGAACUACGAAAUCUGGGGGUGUCAGCGAAUUGCGUCUGUUGGGCGUUGUGUUGGAAGAGUUGGUUGUGAUGAUUUGUGUUCAUCAUGUCACUUUUUUCGGGUUUUCUCGUUCUGGAAAAAAUCUUUUCGGAUUUUUCUUAGAGAUAGGAAUUUCAGUGAUUCGCAAAACUUCAGAAUGCAGUUUCGGUGAUGUCUACUUUUUGGUUCGAUGUAGAAUUAUCUCACUCAAUUGUAGACGGACGAAGCAUGCGUUCGCAUGGUUGGCCACCGCCUUAAUUUGUAAACAAGUCUCAAGUUUGAAGACAUUGAAUUUCUCAGAAGAUCCAUCAUGUUUCAGUUUAUUAUGCCUUUGUUUUCCCGACGAAUCUUCAGCACCUGUACAACCGUCCAAGGCGACACAAAGUUUUCUUCAAAGACUAGUGUAGGAAGACAUGUUGUUCAUAUGCGGAGCAUUGACUCAAACGAUUGACCAUGUUGACGUUAACUUCAGACGUACGUCAUUUGUGUACGUUCAUAUCUAGAAUAUUCGACAGGUUUUUUGCAGUUGUACAUUUUGAUCUUGUAACUUGUCAAAAAGCGAAGUUUUCGGCUUGUCAGCUUCUGUCUGUUGUUUAAACUAAAUUGUGCCCCUCUGGCAGUAUCAUGCAAGCUCUUGAAGCUGUGGCUGGUCUUCCAACAUUCAAGACACAUGAGAAAUGAUGCUUCAGUGGUCAGAAAAUGCCAAACUGCAAAUUGAAGCUUAACUCAAUGAGAAUGAAGCCAGCCAAGUAAGAAGUUCAUGUGAUAACCCUGAAAAGGAAUAGUCCGAAGUGUAUGAUACAUCAAAUUUAGUCAAAGUAUUCUCUCCACGACACACUUUUGGAAGUACAUGUAGUCACAUAAGCUGAAGACAAGAAUUCAUCCAUCUCGGAAAUUAAUUCUUAUUGUGAAAUGUUCAAGUGGAAAUUGAAAAUCUAUAGCGAGAUAAAGUACAGCCUCUGAAGCAAAUCAGCGAAGUCAUGAAAAAUGAAACUUGUAUACUGUGUCAACAUUAUUCCCACCUAGAGGGAAGGGUUCUUUUGUGUGUUGUCUCCAAAUAUCAUUUAAGUCCAGGGGGGAAUGCUGCAAGUCUGCCUACCAAGUCGCUCAUGAGCAAAGGAAUUAACAGCAGAGUCCAGAAAUUCAAGAUACCGAUUGCUGAUCAAGACUCAGAUGCCUACAGAUGGUGCUAAAAUGUGUUAAGUAUUCAGUCUAAGGUGAAGCCAAAAAAUGAAAAUUCAGGCGUGGAAUACAAGCCAAAUGAGAUCUUCUUCAAAAUAUUCCAAUGAAAUUAUUUUCUAACUUCGAAGUAUUGGACGAACUUAAUUCUGCAUGAGAUGCUGGGUUUUGGGUGUUUUGUUCCAAUGAUAUUUCUUCCAGGGUAACAUGCUGAAAGUCUACCUGUCAAGUCAGUCAUGAGCAAAAGAAUUUCCAGAAGAGCCAGGAAUUGCUAGAUUACUGAUCAAGAUUCAGAUGCCCGCAGAGUUUGCAAGAAUUUCCAAAAUGUUAAGUACAUGUAUUCAUUCGAA